UACCUGCUUGGCAACAGGCAAAGGGACACCUUGCUGAUGGUGGCAUUCUUCUAUCAGUCAAGGGCAGAGCAAAAGGCAGCCCUUUGUUCAUCUUAGCUUGUUGCCUGGCUCCAUAGCCAAUGAUGAUUUGUGCCUAGGACUCAUAA